AAUGGGUCAGCGACUUAUAUUCUGUAGCAAGGUUAACCGAAUAGGGGAGCCGAAGGGAAACCGAGUCUUAACUGGGCGUUAAGUUGCAGGGUAUAGACCCGAAACCCGGUGAUCUAGCCAUGGGCAGGUUGAAGGUUGGGUAACACUAACUGGAGGACCGAACCGACUAAUGUUGAAAAAUUAGCGGAUGACUUGUGGCUGGGGGUGAAAGGCCAAUCAAACCGGGAGAUAGCUGGUUCUCCCCGAAAGCUAUUUAGGUAGCGCCUCGUGAAUUCAUCUCCGGGGGUAGAGCACUGUUUCGGCAAGGGGGUCAUCCCGACUUACCAACCCGAUGCAAACUGCGAAUACCGGAGAAUGUUAUCACGGGAGACACACGGCGGGUGCUAACGUCCGUCGUGAAGAGGGAAACAACCCAGACCGCCAGCUAAGGUCCCAAAGUCAUGGUUAAGUGGGAAACGAUGUGGGAAGGCCCAGACAGCCAGGAUGUUGGCUUAGAAGCAGCCAUCAUUUAAAGAAAGCGUAAUAGCUCACUGGUCGAGUCGGCCUGCGCGGAAGAUGUAACGGGGCUAAACCAUGCACCGAAGCUGCGGCAGCGACGCUUAUGCGUUGUUGGGUAGGGGAGCGUUCUGUAAGCCUGUGAAGGUGUGCUGUGAGGCAUGCUGGAGGUAUCAGAAGUGCGAAUGCUGACAUAAGUAACGAUAAAGCGGGUGAAAAGCCCGCUCGCCGGAAGACCAAGGGUUCCUGUCCAACGUUAAUCGGGGCAGGGUGAGUCGACCCCUAAGGCGAGGCCGAAAGGCGUAGUCGAUGGGAAACAGGUUAAUAUUCCUGUACUUGGUGUUACUGCGAAGGGGGGACGGAGAAGGCUAUGUUGGCCGGGCGACGGUUGUCCCGGUUUAAGCGUGUAGGCUGGUUUUCCAGGCAAAUCCGGAAAAUCAAGGCUGAGGCGUGAUGACGAGGCACUACGGUGCUGAAGCAACAAAUGCCCUGCUUCCAGGAAAAGCCUCUAAGCAUCAGGUAACAUCAAAUCGUACCCCAAACCGACACAGGUGGUCAGGUAGAGAAUACCAAGGCGCUUGAGAGAACUCGGGUGAAGGAACUAGGCAAAAUGGUGCCGUAACUUCGGGAG
rnacentral:rRNA from 1 species